CUGGUAUUCCAUCCGUUCCAUAUUAAGUGUCAAAAUAUUACAUGUAUCUAUACGCUUUUUAGAUAUAAAUACAUGCAUAUUUAGACAAAUACGGGUCAUUUAAUAUGGGACGGAGGGAGUACUAG
rnacentral:pre_miRNA from 1 species